AUGCUGUCACUUUGGCAGCACAUGUACUAAAACUGGAAUGACACAGAGAAGAUUAGCAUGUCCCCUGUGGAAGGAUGACACGCAAAUUCAUGAAGUGUUCCAUAUUUUU